rnacentral:rRNA from 1 species
CCUACGGGUGGCUGCAGUCGAGAAUCAUUCACAAUGGGGGCAACCCUGAUGGUGCGACGCCGCGUGGGGGAAUGAAGGUCUUCGGAUUGUAACCCCCUGUCAUGUGGGAGCAAAUUAAACAGAUCGUACCACAAGAGGAAGAGACGGCUAACUCUGUGCCAGCAGCCGCGGUAAUACAGAGGGCUCAAGCGGUGUUCGGAAUCACUGGGCGUAAGGGGUGCGUAGGCUGUUUCGUAAGUAGUGUGUGAAAGGUGUGGGCGCAACCCGCGGACGGCACAUGAUACUGCGAGACUAGAGUAAUGGAGGGGGAACCGGAAUUCUCGGUGUAGCAGUGAAAUGCGUAGAUAUCGAGAGGAACACUCGUGGCGAAGGCGGGUUCCUGGACAUUAACUGACGCUGAGGCACGAAGGCCAGGGGAGCGAAAGGGAUUAGAUACCCGUGUAGUC